CGGGAGUCCGUGAUGUCGCGAGACUUCCUCCUCCCAGUAGCCAUGUUGAGCUAGCAGUAGCAUUUUUGAGCUUCACAAAAAUUGAAUAAUAGUUGAUAUUAAGUCAAAACAGAUAUGUAAAUUGAGAAAUUAUCAGAUGAUAGUGAAGCUGUUUCCCUACAGAAGCCAUGAAACAACCAGAAGUGCCGGUUUUAUCUGAAUUAGCUGAACUUCUCUGCUCGGAACCCGGAUCUGCAUUUCCACUGAAGCCGCCAGACGAGCCUCUGCGCUGUGCCUGCUGAUUCAUCUGCAGUUCAUCUCUGACAACCACACAGCUCCUCUUGGCUUACAGUCACU
rnacentral:lncRNA from 1 species